rnacentral:rRNA from 1 species
GAUGAACGCUGGCGGCGUGCUUAACACAUGCAAGUCGAACGAUGAAGCCCAGCUUGCUGGGUGGAUUAGUGGCGAACGGGUGAGUAACACGUGAGUAACCUGCCCUUAACUCUGGGAUAAGCCUGGGAAACUGGGUCUAAUACCGGAUAGGAGCGUCCACCGCAUGGUGGGUGUUGGAAAGAUUUAUCGGUUUUGGAUGGACUCGCGGCCUAUCAGCUUGUUGGUGAGGUAAUGGCUCACCAAGGCGACGACGGGUAGCCGGCCUGAGAGGGUGACCGGCCACCACGGGACUGAGACACGGCCCCGACUCCUACGGGAGGCAGCAGUGGGGAAUAUUGCACAAUGGGCGCAAGCCUGAUGCAGCGACGCCGCGUGAGGGAUGACGGCCUUCGGGUUGUAAACCUCUUUCAGUAGGGAAGAAGCGAAAGUGACGGUACCUGCAGAAGAAGCACCGGCUAACUACGUG